CCUUUGGUCGGAGAACCCAUUGGUGGCGGCUUCAAGGUCAGAGUAUUCGAACUGUUGGAUCUUGAUGGGUUUUUCCUGCUUGUUGGUGACACCUUUGGUUGUGGAGGUGGAGAUUAUGGACACUGCUGAGUCUGCUUUGCAAGAAAGGUAACCCAUCAAAAAACAAACCACAAAAAGUUACUUCUUUCUUUCUGAGUCUUGUUUGUGAAACGGGAAUUUUGACAGGCUACAGGAAAUAUGAAUCAGGAAUGAACAAUUAUAUCAUUUCAUUACUGGGCUGCAAAUGCAUCAAAGACUGAAGAGGAAAAAUUGAAGUUUUUAUUUUUUUCUUUUCCUGUCUUUCUCUCUUGGAGAGGAAAGGAAAGGGGC
rnacentral:lncRNA from 1 species